CCUACGGGUGGCAGCAGUAGGGAAUCUUCGGCAAUGGACGAAAGUCUGACCGAGCAACGCCGCGUGAGUGAAGAAGGUUUUCGGAUCGUAAAACUCUGUUGGUAGAGAAGAACGUUGGUGAGAGUGGAAAGCUCAUCAAGUGACGGUAACUACCCAGAAAGGGACGGCUAACUACGUGCCAGAAGCCGCGGUAAUACGUAGGUCCCGAGCGUCGUCCGGAUUUAUUGGGCGAAAAGCGAGCGCAGGUGGUUUGUUAGAGCGUGUUUGAAAGGGCAGGGGUCAACCCAUGGUUGGCGUUGAAACUUGUAGACCUUAGGUGAAGAGAGGAGAGUGGAAUUCCAUGUGUAGCGGUUAAAUGCCGAGAUAUAUGGAGGGACACCGGUGGCGAAAGCGGCUUCCUUGGCUGUAACUGACACUGAGGCUCGAAAGCGUGGGGAGCAAACAGGAUUAGAUACCCGGGUAGUC
rnacentral:rRNA from 1 species